GACGAACGCUGGCGGCGUGCUUAACACAUGCAAGUCGAACGGAAAGGCCCCUUUGGGGGUACUCGAGUGGCGAACGGGUGCGUAACACGUGAGUAACCUGCCCUUGACUUCGGGAUAACUUCAGGAAACUGGGGCUAAUUCCGGAUAGGAAUCCUUGCUGCAUGGUGGGGGUUGGAAAGCUUCGGCGGUUUUGGAUGGACUCGCGGCUUAUCAGCUUGUUGGUGGGGUAGUGGCUUACCAAGGCUUUGACGGGUAGCCGGCCUGAGAGGGCGACCGGCCACAUUGGGACUGAGAUACGGCCCAGACUGCUACGGGAGGAAGCAGGGGGGAAUAUUGCACAAUGGGCGGAGGGCUGAUGCAGAAGGGCCGCGUGCGGGAUGACGGCCUUCGGGUUGAAGAACGCUUUCAGCAGGGGCGAAGCUUGUGGUGACGGUACCUGCAGAAGAAGCACCGGCUAACUACGUG
rnacentral:rRNA from 1 species